UUUUUCUUGAACCUUUUUGGAGCCUGUUUAAAGUUUUCUUUAUAUCAUUGAACGAGUCUCUGUGUUUUCAAUACCCGACACCCUCCGCACGUUCUCGGACACAGGCCGCGCAGCAGACGUGACAGUGACCGAAGUCCUUUUCCCAUGGUGCAAAAUAAAAUAAGAUAACAUCAUGGCUUAUCGAUUUGUCCAGAAGUAAUUUGUACAACUCAGACACAAACUCCUUGCCUUUAGUGCCCCCAAAAGUAUCCUUUUAUUGGUUUUGAGUAAGUUAUUUGACUUCAUCUAAGUGUGGUACACAGUUUCGAAGCUAUAGCUGAGUAGAGUAUGGCUCACAGCAGUAGAGUGCUUGUCUAGCCUGGGCAAGUCCAUAGAUUCAGUCCUCAGAAGGGGUCGGGAGAAGCAUGUCAUGUGGUGCUCCUUAAAUGAUCUGUUUUUGGUGGUUUUGAAACGAAGUCUCCCUAUCUUCCCAUGUAACCCAGGCAGGUCUUGACAUCCUGUCCUCAGCUGCCUGAGCUGGGAUUACAGGCCUAUACCUACUAUCCCACUUGGCUUAGCCUUUGUAAUGAAGAAAAACUCUGUCUUAGAAGUUCCUCCAUUUUUUUUCUUUUGGAAUAUCUAUAGCUUAGAAAACACACUUUACCCUGCAAACAUAUAGGUGGUUAGAAAGAGAUUUAUAAAUAUGCCUUUUCUGGUAUCAUUUAUUUUAAGAGUAUUUUUUCACCCCACGACAGUCACUUGAGGCUGACAGCGUUUCCAUGGUAACCACGUUCCUCCCAUAAAAAAACACUGGAUGCUGAUAAAUAUCGAUCCUUUAAUGUCUCAACACCUUUGAUUACCCCGUCUUGAGUCCCCACGUGAAAGGGCUUCAUGUUAGGGCAUAGGCCACGCCCAGCAUGGCAAGGAAGUGCUCAGCAGAUCUGCUGUUUCUGGCGGGGGAUGUGAGGAUCCCAGGGGGAAUCUGACUCAGCCUGCAUGAGCUAAUGGACCGUCUGCAGUGUGCAUGAAAUUACUUUCUGAGCAGCCGAGAGAGAAGCCAAAGGGAGGCCUCUGCAGAGUGAAUUUGGCAUCCAUCUAUCAUCUCCGUGAGACAAUCUGGAGGCUCUUGCGUUACUCUCUGCUGUAACCAAGAAAACAAACAAAGGCCCCACGAAGCUUCACUGGGCAACAACUGGCCACUGGAAAGGAACUGGAACCAAGAUAGAGUUGCUUGGGUUUUAUCCUCGAGUCUCCGAAGCCCAAGAGUGCUCAAAGGUAGACAUGAUUCUUCCCCGUUCCAUUUAAGCUUAACCAAGUCAGCACAGAGGUUUGUAAUGAAAAGAUUCUGCAUGCAGACCACCCAGUAUCCUGAUGUCUUGAGAACUUUGAGGAGAAUAAAGGGGUUCCAGAGCUA